GAGUUUGAUCCUGGCUCAGAGCGAACGCUGGCGGCAGGCCUAAUACAUGCAAGUCGAACGGCUCUUCGGAGCAGUGGCGGACGGGUGAGUAACGCGUGGGAACGUGCCCUUUGGUUCGGAACAACACAGGGAAACUUGUGCUAAUACCGAAUGUGCCCUUCGGGGGAAAGAUUUAUCGCCAUUGGAGCGGCCCGCGUUGGAUUAGCUAGUUGGUGAGGUAAAGGCUCACCAAGGCUACGAUCCAUAGCUGGUCUGAGAGGAUGAUCAGCCACACUGGGACUGAGACACGGCCCAGACUCCUACGGGAGGCAGCAGUAGGGAAUCUUGCGCAAUGGGCGAAAGCCUGACGCAGCCAUGCCGCGUGAAUGAUGAAGGUCUUAGGAUUGUAAAAUUCUUUCACCGGGGAAGAUAAUGACGGUACCCGGAGAAGAAGCCCCGGCUAACUUCGUGCCAGCCGCCGCCGU
rnacentral:rRNA from 1 species